UUUCCCAAUUUGUUUGGUACCAGGCACGAUUAACAAAGUAGGGGGGAAAAUGCUGACACUGGGACCAGUGACUUUUCAUAACAUUCAGUGACUGCUAAGUAGCAAUCUAUGACUUUACAAAGCAACCAAUGACUCCCAUAGCAACCAUUUACUUUCCAUAGCAACUAGUGAUAUUUCAUACUAACUGGAGACUGCCAUAGCAACCAUGACUUUCCAUGAUGAAAUUGACUUCCCUUAAUAACCAGUAAUUUCCAUAAUGACCCUUGAAAUACAUUUCUCAAGAACAUGUACCUAUUAUUUCUACCAGCAUCAACUUAAUCCUUAGUAACCAGUGGUAUCCAUAGCAACUAGUGACUUAUUUUCCAAAGCAACCUUUAUCUUUCCAUAGCAACUGUUGGCUUUCUUUUCUUUUCAUAUCAGUUACAGACUUUUCAUAAGAACCAGUGACUUCCAUAGCAAAAUUUUAUUUUCUAUAUAGCAACCAGUACCAUUAACUUUCAUAGCAACCUGCUGGUCAGCCGGAAUGGUAGCCACUGCAGCCUUUAAAGAGCCAGGCUUUAUUGUUUAGCUAACAAAAUUGAUAAUGGAAGUUUUAUAAAUGAAAGCUAGACAAAGUCUAUUUCAGAAAUUUAGCAGGUUUAGCAUUUAUCUGUAUUUAUUUACUCUUAUUAUUUUCCUAAAAUUUAAAUACUAUAACACAAUUGAAUUAGUUUGUAAUGGUACAACAGUUAAAAAAUAGUUGCUUAAAAUUUUAGGGUCCAAGCCUGUAAACUGAGCCAAGCAAAAUAGAUGUGAUGGAGGAGACAAGUGAUAACAAACAAAUCAAAAGAAGAAAAUGUCAUAUCUUGGAUAAAAAUGGUUACCUUCAACAACUAGUUAUACUGGUCACAGUUAAAUUAAAUAUUGUUGUCAAGAAGAUUUUCCCUAUUCAUCAUAGAGGAGCAAUGGAACAUGUGCUUAAACUUUGCAUAAGUUUUGUUGAAACUUUCAUUUGAUAUACUGAAGAUGGUUGUUGAAUAUUGUUUGGUAACAAUAUCUAUAUGGCUAUAUGGCUGUAAAGAGAGAUGUUGAAAGGUGCAAUUUUAGUGCAAAAAUGUGCAUGUUUAACAACAUGUUGAAUGAACAAACAUUAUAAUGCAGUAAAACACUAGGAAUCAUUAUGUUUUCAAAACUUUAUAACAACUUAGUAAAUGUGUUGGAAUGUCCAUAUAUCCAUCCACCAAGAGGAGGUAUCUACAUGUUAGUGAAACUUAAUACAUUAUAGAUGGAUAAAUCUCAUUGGGGAGAAAUGAUGUGUUGAAUUUUAAUAUGCCCGAAACAAUUUCGGGCAUAUUAUGUUAUACCCCCUGGCAUCUGUUCCUCCGUACGAACCCAGAGGUACUUGUGUGACUGGGUAUCAGUAUAUAAAUAACACAUGGGUUUGUUAGUAACAGUAAAAAUAUCAUCCCGAAGAAAAUACUGUUACCCAAGGAUGAUUGUCCAUAUUAUUAUAAGGUAGAAGACACCUAUUGAUUUUGAGGUCACAAGAUCAAAGGUCAAGAACUGAAAACAGUUUCCGGAGCAUAACUUAAGUUCCAUUUGGCCCACAGUGUUCAAACUUCAUAGGAUGAUUGUCUAUAUUGGGUAGAAAAUCCCUAUUGAUUUUGGGGUCACAAGGUCAAAGGUCAAGGUCAUUAUUACUUUAGAACUGAAAACUGUUUCCGGAACAUAACUUAAGUUUCAUUUGGCCCACAAUAUAAAAACUUCAUAGGAUGAUUGUCCAUAUUGGGUAGAAGACCCCUAUUGAUUUUGGGGUCACAAGGUCAAGGUCAUUAUUGCCUUAAAACUGAAAACAGUUUCCGGAGCAUAGCUUAAGUUCCAUUUGGCCCACAGUGUUCAAACUUCAUAGGAUGAUUGUCUAUAUUGGGUAGAAAAUCCCUAUUGAUUUUGGGGUCACAAGGUCAAAGGUCAAGGUCAUUAUUACUUUAGAACUGAAAACUGUUUCCGGAACAUAACUUAAGUUUCAUUUGGCCCACAAUAUAAAAACUUCAUAGGAUGAUUGUCCAUAUUGGGUAGAAGACCCCUAUUGAUUUUGGGGUCACAAGGUCAGAGGUCAAGAUCAUUAUUACUUUAAAACUGAAAACAGUUUUCGGAUCAUGACUUAAGUUCCAUUUGGCCCACAGUAUUCAUACUUUAUAGGAUGAUUGGCCAUAUUGGGUAGAACACCACUAUUGAUUUUGGGAUCACAAGGUCAGAGGUCAAGGUCACUAUUACUUUAAAAGUGAAAACAGUUUCCGGAGAAUAACUUAAGUUCCAUUUGGCCCACAUUUGGCCUAGCGGUGCUCUUAAUAUUUUUCAGCUCAAUUUUUUUUAAGAAUAAAAGAGUGUGAGCUAUUGCUAUGUACAGUCAUGCCUUACUUUCUUGUUGUCAUCCUAAAACUUUAACAUUGGCAAUUAUUUCAUUACAAAAUGGAUUCAAUUUUCUUCACAACAACCCUUUUAACAAGACCUUCAAGUAGACCAGACUGAACUUGACCUUGAGUCUUAAAAUAUCUUGACCUUCCAAGUCACGGUGUCAAAUGUUUAAACUAUCAAUUUUGCUUGAUAUUUGCUUAUUUGGCUGUAACUUUGUUAUUCUUUUUAGCUCACCUGAGCUUGCGUUUGAACAUGGGUUAUCUCAGAUGAAAAACUAGGUCACAGGAGCUAAAAAUAGAAAAAUCUUGUUAACACUCUAAUGGCUACUGUUUUCAUCCAAAUAUCCUGGACUGAAAGUUUGUUUUGAUGAUUUUUAUAUCAAAUUUGAAUAUGGGUCACCUGGGGUCAAAAACUAGGUCACACUGCUCAAAUAUGGAAAAUCCUUGUUAACACUCUAGUGGUCACAUGUUUGACUCGCCUGUCAUGAAACUUGGUCAGGAUGCUUGUCUAGGUAAUUGCUCGGAUGAGUUCGAACAUGUGUCAUCUCAGAUGAAAUACUAGGUCACAGGAGUUUAAUAUAAUAUGGGUUUGAUGGGUCAGGUGAGCGAUCUAGGGUCAUUUUGGCCCUCUUGUUGGCUGUAACUUUGUAAGUAAUCAAUGGAGUAUUUCAAACUUAGACAAAACAACCAUUUGGACAAGACAUGCUGAAAGGUUGAACAGACCUUGACCUUGAGCUUUAAAUCACAUUGACUGUCAAGUUCAAAUUAUUGAAUUUUGGUUAAGUUGUCAUGAGGGAACGGUUCCCUCUUGCCAGUAACAUGGCUCUAAAUUUCUAUAUUACUGCAUUUUAUUCUAUCAAAUUGUUAUACAUGUAUCUGUUUUGUUAAGGGGAACGGUUCCACUUUAGAAAGUUUGUUAUAGAUAAGUUUUGAAAUUUAUUUUUUAUUUUGAGGAGGGAAUGGUUCCCUCUUACUGGUAACCUGGCUCUAAAUUUCUAAAUUAUUGCAUUUUAUUCUAUCAAAUUGUUAUAUCUAUUUUGUUAAGGGGGAACAGUUCCACUUUAGAAAAUUGUUAAGUGAUAAGUUUUGAAAUUUAUUUUUUAUUUUGAUGAGGGAACGGUUCCCUCUUACUGGUAACCUGGCUCUAAAUUUCUAAAUUAUUGCAUUUCAUUCUAUCAAAUUGUUAUAUCUAUUUUGUUAAGGGGGAACGGUUCCACUCUAGAAAAUGUGUCGUAGUUAAGUUUUGAAAUUUGUCUUUUAUUUCGAUGAGGGAACGGUUCCCUCUUACUGGUAACCUGGCUCUAAAUUAUUGCAUUUUAUUCUAUCAAAUUGUUAUAUCUAUUUUGUUAAGGGGGAACGGUUCCACUUUAGAAAAUUGUUAAGUGAUAAGUUUUGAAAUUUAUUUUUUAUUUUGAUGAGGGAACGGUUCCCUCUUACUGGUAACCUGGCUCUAAAUUUCUAAAUUAUUGCAUUUUAUUCUAUCAAAUUGUUAUAUAUAUUUUAAGGGGGAACGGUUCCACUUUAGAAAAUUGGUAAGUGAUAAGUUUUGAAAUUUAUUUUUUAUUUUGAUGAGGGAACGGUUCCCUCUUACUGGUAACCUGGCUCUAAAUUCUAAAUUAUUGCAUUUUAUUCUAUCAAAUUGCUUUAUCUGUUUUGUUAAGGGGGAACGGUCCACUUUAGAAAAAGUGUUACAGAUAAGUUUUGAAAUUUGUUUUUUUAUUUCGAUGAGGGAACGGUUCCCUCUUACCGGUAAACUUGCUCUAAAUUUCUAUAUAGCUGCAUUUUAUUCUAUCAAAUUGUUAUAUCUGUUUUGUUAAGGGGGAAUGGUUCCACUUUAGAAAAUGUAUCAUAGAUAAGUUUUGAAAUUUAUUUUUUUAUUUUGAUGAGGGAACGGUUCCCUCUUACCAUUUACAUGGCUCUAAAAUUCUAAAUUAUUGCAUUUUAUUCUAUCAAAUUGUAAUAUCUGUUUUGUUAAGGGGGAACGGUUCCACUUUAGAAAAAGUGUUUCAGAUAAGUUUUGAAAUUUGUUUUUUAUUUCGAUGAGGGAACGGUUCCCUCCUACCGGUAACCUUGCUCUAAAUUUCUAAAUUAUUGCACUUUAUUCUAUCAAAUUGUUUUAUCUAUUUUGUUAAGGGGGAACGGUUCCACUUUAGAAAAUUGGUAAGUGAUAAGUUUUGAAAUUUAUUUUUUAUUUUUAUGAGGGAACGGUUCCCUCUUACUGGUAACCUGGCUCUAAAAUUCAACAUUAUUGCAUUUUAUUCUAUCAAAUUUUUAAAUCUGUUUUGUUAAGGGGGAACGGUUCCACUUUAGAAAAUGUGUCGUAGUUAAGUUUUGAAAUUUGUCUUUUAUUUCGAUGAGGGAAUGGUUCCCUCUUACUUGUAACCUUGUUCGUAAUUUCUAAAUUAUUGCAUUUUAUUCUAUCAAAUUGUUAUAUAUAUUUUAAGGGGGAACGGUUCCACUCUAGAAAAUGUGUCAUAGAUAAGUUUUGAAAUUUAUUUUUUAUUUCGAUGAGGGAACGGUUCCCUCUUACCGGUAACAUGGCUCUCAAUUUCUAUAUUACUGCAUUUCAUUCUAUCCAAUUGUUAUACAUGUACCAGUUUUGUUAAGGGGGAACGGUUCCACUUUAGAAAAUUUGUUAUAGAUCAGUUUUGAAAUUUAUUUUUUAUUUUGAGGAGGGAACGGUUCCCUCUUACCAUUAACAUGGCUCUAAAUUUCUAAAUUAUUGCAUUUUAUUCUAUCAAAUUGUUAUAUCUAUUUUGUUAAGGGGGAACGGUUCCCCUUUAGAAAAUAUAUUAUGAUAAGUUUUAAAAUUUACUUUUUAUUUCGAUGAGGGAAUGGUUCCCCCUUAAGCAUAAUGUAUCUCUUAUUACUGAAAAAUUGCUUUAUAUUUAUCAAAACAUGUUGUAUUCUGUACAUGGCUUUUGUUCUUCGGGGGAACGGUUCCCCCGAAAACAUUUGCAAAAGAAACAAAAAAUAAAAUUUGGAUGUUUACUUUAGCUGUUUGUCUUUUACUUUUCACAAAACAAUACCAUUACUUUAGCUGAAAAUAAUGUAAAAAUAGUGCAUUAAAAAGGGGAACGAGUGUAUUUCCCCUUUUUAAAAUAUAUCGAGU